CGGCUGUAACCCACGUGGGGGCGCCAAGAGUGCUGGAUGGGUGUGUAGGCGGUUGCAGACCGGUGGCGACUCAGUAGAUCUGCCGUUGCAAGACUGCGGUUCGCGGAGGGUGUCCAAGAGGAAUUUCGGACGUCCUUCGUGCUGAGGAGAUUGGGCGCAUCGCUGGAGGCGAGCAAUCGAGCACAGAAAAGUCCCCGCCGUGGCCAGUGCAACGAAAACGGAACU
rnacentral:SRP_RNA from 11 species